rnacentral:misc_RNA from 1 species
AGAAAAACAAAAACAAUAACUAAAUUGAUGAAUUUCACAAACUAAUUUUGGUGGUUUUCAUUUGUUUUUGACGAUCAUUACAAACAGACCAAACCAACAUUCGGAUCCUUCCAAUUGGCUAGGUUGAUAAGACCAUUAACAAAGUGAAAAGAAUCUCAAGUACCCACAUUGAUAGAUUAACCAAGCUCACCAAACUGGGGCCUCUUUGUGGCCAAUGUUAUGGAUGUCUAUUUCCACAGCAAACUCUCAUUCAUUCAUUCAUUCACAAUUUGGCUAUUGAGUAUAUAGACAAUUCAACGGUCAUCCUGUGGCACGUGAAGCUUUUUGGCACUCAAAAGAGAGGGACUUGUGAAAGGAUGUGAACCUAACCAAUAUGCUUUAAAGUUAGCCCAAGGUCAUUUCCUCAGUCCUUGCACCUUACCCUCCAUCCAUGCAAUGCCACUUUCAGCUUGGUCCUUGUGGACCUUUCUUAGCUCUCCAAAUCUUUAUAGCAUCUCAUCCUGAUCUUGAUUCGAAAAUGACUGAGAUCUGUAAUUCCUUUUCUUACGAUACAGUAUCAUUGAAUUAAAGUUCAUUGUCUCUAAUUACAUAACUCUGAAAGAAAGAAAAUAUCCCAUAUAUAAUGUCUUUAAAAUUAACAUGAUUCUUUCAUAUAUAAAUAUAUUAUAUAUAGGAAAUGGAAUGGAAAGAGUAUAUCCCACAAAAACCAAGGGAGUUGCAUUCUUGAAAAGACUAAUCAACACACAGUUACAACUAUAGGUCUGUAUAAAGGAGGAUGGCCAUGAUUGCCAUCACACCUUUUGAAAAACCAUCAAUAAUAGCUCUUAGAAGGAAAGGAGAAAGAAAAG